rnacentral:rRNA from 1 species
AUUGAACGCUGGCGGCAUGCCUUACACAUGCAAGUCGAACGGUAACAGGUCUUCGGAUGCUUACGAGUGGCGCACGGGUGUGUAAUACAUCGGAACGUGCCUAGUAGUGGGGGGUAACUACUCGAAAGAGUGGCUAAUACCGCAUGAGAUCUACGGAUGAAAGCAGGGGAUCGCAAGACCUUGUGCUACUAGGGCGGCCGAUGGCUGAUUAGGUAGUUGGUGGGAUAAAAGCUUACCAAGCCGACGAUCUGUAGCUGGUCUGAGAGGACGAUCAGCCACAGUGGGACUGAGACACGGCACAGACUCUGACGGGAGGCAGCGGUGGGGAAUUGUGGAAAAUGGGCGGAAGCCUGCUCAAGGAAUGCCGCGUGCAGGAUGAAGGGCUUCGGGUUGUAAGAUGCUUUUGUACUGGACGAAAAGCUCUGCGUUAAUCCACUCGGGUCAUGACGGUACCGGAAGAAUAAGCACCGGCUAACUACGUG